UUUUAAAGUAAUCAUCAUCAUAUAUAUAAACGGAAGUCAGAAUGUCGAGAAUACAAUGAUCACCAUGAUCACAAUAGUGUCAUUACAUUAGACAAUUAACUCACUUAUUUGUGAGCAUAACAGAUGAUAAAACUAGAUACAAAAAAAUAUCACGGAAACAUAAGACUGGAGCCAAGGCACUCAAAUUUCAGUACCCCAAACCAUAAGUGACCAUCUAGAUGCAGCUAAUUUGCACAGUCUGUCAAACUCCAAACCGCACAAACACCCACUACAUUUUAUUUUUGUCCUUUAGAUUAGGGCUUGAGGGAGUGACAGAGCGAAGCACGCUCAAAACAUCUUCUCUCGGGUAUUUGGAUAUCUGCUUUGGUGUUUUGAAAUUAGGCAUAGCAACCCAAUUCCAAAUUCGGAGAUCUUUUUUGGGCUUGAGGCUAGCCAAGGACCCAAGCUCAGUUCAAGACCUUGCCAAAUCUGCCUCUUUUCUUGCCGACAAGCUUCCAUGCUGGCAUCUGAGCCCAGAAGCGGGCCCAAACACCUGGGUCCAUAUCCAAGUCCGAGCCCAGCAUUGGAAGGAAGAGACCCGCACCACGCCGACGGGCCAAAUCCGAUCAGCUGCAGCGCCGCCACACAUAGGAAGAUCAAUCGGACAUCGAAGUUGGAUCAGUAGGUGAUCAAAGAAGGGAAAAAAUAAAAAAUAAAGAGCUCGUUACAAUAAAAUCUGUUAGUUGGGUCAAGAGCUCAAUAAGCCCAUUAUUUUUGUCCGAUUAUUGGCCAUUGGGUUUUUUAUAAAUAGUUGAAAGUGACAAGAGGACCCAACGCAGAAUUGCAGGCAAUAAGUUGGUCCCUUCUCCUCGUCCUCUCUCUCUCUCUCUCUCUCUCUCUCUUCUCUCUCUCUCUCUCUCUCUCUCUCUCUCUACUCUAUGAUCCACUUCAACUUCAGUCCAAUUGUAUAAGUUUUGUCAAUGAAGUAAUUAUAACUCUAGCGUUUUAUAUUUUUCACCGUUCAUUUCUUUUUCUUUUGAUACGUACUUGAUUGUCACAAUUAAGAAAAAGUAACAAACUUGGGUCCAAAAGAUAAAUGAAACUAGUAUUAGUCGACCUCCAAAAAAGGACCUUGAAAUAGACACAUUGCCUCAAGCAUGACAUAUAUGUA
rnacentral:lncRNA from 1 species